rnacentral:rRNA from 1 species
AGCGAACGCUGGCGGCAGGCCUAACACAUGCAAGUCGAACGAAGUCUUCGGACUUAGUGGCGGACGGGUGAGUAACACGUGGGAACGUGCCUUUAGGUUCGGAAUAACUCAGGGAAACUUGUGCUAAUACCGAAUGUGCCCUUCGGGGGAAAGAUUUAUCGCCUUUAGAGCGGCCCGCGUCUGAUUAGCUAGUUGGUGAGGUAAAGGCUCACCAAGGCGACGAACAGUAGCUGGUGUGAGAGGAUGAUCAGCCACAUUGGGACUGAGACACGGCCCAAACUCCUACGGAAGGCAGCAGUGGGGAAUCUUGCGCAAUGGGCGAAAGCCUGACGCAGCCAUGCCGCGUGAAUGAUGAAGGUCUUAGGAUUGUAAAAUUCUUUCACCGGGGACGAUAAUGACGGUACCCGGAGAAGAAGCCCCGGCUAACUUCGUGCCAGCCGCCGCCGUAACAC